CCUCUUGGAGAAUCUAAAAUCAUCUCCUACAUUCUUGGUGGAUUACAUAAAGAUUACGACUCUGUCAUUACUUUUGUUAAUACUCGCUUGGAGCCUAUGCCUCUUGAUGAAUUGUAUGGUCAUUUGAUCACUCUUGAGA